AAUUUUGUUACAUUUGUCGUAUGCUGCUAUUUUACUGUUGCUGUUACUAUGAAAUUAUUCUUGCAGGUGUUUAUUUUGUGGUGCAUUCUUUUCCUCACUAUUGUAAGCCACCUUGAACAUAAUCUUUUGGAUGGAAAAUGCAGCAUUCAAAUAAAGCAGCAGUGAUGAUGGUGAGACACCGACAGAUUCGAAGAUGUCAAUUUAUGAAGUGCAAUUUCAGAGUCACCUGGAAAAUCCUAUUUUUGGCUUUGAAAUUCAACAUUCACCAGCUAAAUGGCAAAGCUGAAAAUCCCGGCACAUAGAUCGAUCAGCUGCACUUCAGUAGUCACAGCUUGCUUCUUCCUUUGGAACAAUGCCUGCCAUUAAAGGAUGCACAAAGUCAGGUGAAGGAGGCAAAGAACUUCUUAAGUGAAAAAGACACCUUGCUUCAGGUUCAGAAAAGGCUCUCUGGGAAAACAGACUGCUGGCUGCCUUCAUGUUAUCUCCCCACAACAAAAACCUCUUCCUGCUUCUGGUGAAGGACUUCCUCCUCCCUCUUCCCACCUACACCUGUGCAGAAUAAACCUUAUUGUGAUGACAGUCUUGCACAAAUAUAGAUAUAGGAAGAUAUAUAUCCCCCUGUGCGUCCCAUCUCAAUCAACUGUUGUACUGUCAGACUUCUGUAUCUCUUGAUGUUGACUUUCCUUGAACAACAAAUUACGGCCUCUUCACCUUAUGUCCUUACAGCUUCCUAUAAUGAAUUCUUACAGCAUUACGUUGACAUAGAUUCUUUGCACUGCCUAGCCCCAAUUCCUUUGAGUUCUCUUCCAGAAAUUGUGCUCUGAUUCACUAAAUCUUUAGUGUAAUCAUCCUGCCGAUGCUCUCAAAUAGCAGCACCAAACUGAAAUCCCUGAUUGCCUUGCAUUUCAUCUUUAUUUACCCCAUGAGCAAUGCACAAAACACACUUCCUAAUCCUCUCCUUUUAUCCCCUAUGUGCCUUUCUAUGAUACCACACACAGCAAAAUCUGCAAGGUAAUGUCACUUGUUGAUGUGGUUUUAAAUCAGGCUGUGGGGGCAGAGGGGACACACAAGUGGAAAAGAUGCUAAUAGGCCGUGGGCAGGGCAAUGGAUCCUGGACAUGAUGCUUCCAAGUAGCCUAUCAAGGAUCCAGUAAGAGGUAUCUGGCCUUUCCAGCUUCUCUGUCCACACUAUACUAAGGCAGAACUAAAAAAAUUCCAUAUAUUUUCUGAAUGUUAUUCUUUUUUUGGCUGCUGCUCAUCCUUAUUUUAACAACCACCACCACUUAUUCCGAACUUCUUGCAGAGAUGUUCCCAUAUUCAUCUUAAAUAGCUUUCAGAUGCCCUCAUUAGUCUUCAUGGAUGCAACAUAAUGUAGCCAAAUCUGACUGGCUACAUACCAUUGUGACAUUAUUUCACUCAUUGCAUAGUCCCUGAUAGGAAUUAGUCACCCUUGUAAUUCAUCCAUGGAGGAGGGAAUUUCCACCCCACCAAAAUUGCUGUGUAUCUUUGGCACAGAAAUUCAGACUGGUGAAUAUUCAGCACAGCUCAAGCUGAGACUCUUUCAUCAGAGUCUCCGUUUUUCAUUAAUUGUGCAGCAGUAACAAUCAUGUAAGCAACUGAUUUUUGCUUAAAUCGUUGCACAUACUGUGGACCUCGUAAACAAGGAUAUGUUUAUAUACUAUGUCCUCCAAGGAGCUCAAGGUAGUGCACAUGAUUCUCCCCUUCCAUUUUUACCCCACAACAACCCUGUGUGGUAGGGUUAAGCUGAGAGGCAGUGAUUGGCCCAAGGUCACCCAGUGAGCUUCAUGACUGAGUGGGGAUUCAAAGUCUGGUCUCCCAGGUCCAGCACUUGAAGCACUAGACCACACUGGCUAAAUAUAUGUUCUACUGACUCUAUAAUCUGUUAGUGUAAUUCUGCAAAAAUUGUUGAGGGAAAGGAUUAGCAUGCACAAAGGGUUUCAAAAUAAAACUAGGGUGUACUAUACUUUACUGCUUUUAACCGAGCAAAUGAGAAUCUAUAAGGGUAAAGCAAAUGACGCAGCUUUCAAUUUUCCUGGAACAGAGGCUGAGCGUGGAUUGCGUGGGCUGGGCUGAAAUGUGCUUGCAUAUAUGCAAUAGGUCAUGCCACCAGCUCCGAUUGCCGUCAGCUUCCACCCCACCAUCCUUGUCACCAAUGCGAAGCUUGCUUCGAUGGUGAAUGGUGCUAAAAUAGCAUCGGCGCUGUUUGUGCCUGUCCCCAAAUGUGUCUGAGGCAUCAUUGUCGGGGAGAUGUCAUUAUCUUGUCAGAUCUGCCUUCUUCCCGAGGUGUUAACAUCGCUCUGGAAGGCUAAAAUUACAGGGUGCAGCACCAGUCAGAAGCCCGUACAAAAGAUGCAAAUGACUUCGUCUUGCAUCCAAAGGGAUUGGCAAGCAAGUUGCUUCUUGUUUUCCCCGGGUGGGGGUAGAGAGUUGAAAAAAGGAGAAUUGAAACUAUAUUACUAUUGCUAAUCCAAAAGUAAGAUGCUAUAAUGAUUGGGGUGGAGUAGAGUUUCAAGCCACAGCAUUACCUUACAUGUAAUAACCUAAAAUAUAGACAAGGAAGGAAGGAAGGAAGGAAGGAAGGAAGGAAGGAAGGAAGGAAGGAAGGAAGGAUGGAUUCUGGAUAGUUAAAGGAAGAGUUAUGGUAGGAUCUUGUGGAUCUGACAGAACUAGAGUAGAACCUGGCAUGCAUUGGAUCAGGCCUGGCAAAGCCAAUCUGGUACAAUAAGGCAGGAAAGUAUUUGAGAAGUCUGCAGAUCUGCAUCACUAGUUGUUCCAGAACUCAGCUGUCCUGACUGAGUUAGUAAAAUGAUGCUGUCUGGUUGGCAAAUCUGCACCCCCCCCCCUAUAAAAGCCACAGGUGUUCUCCAACUGCUAGCUAGCUGUUGAGGAGGAGGGGUAGGGAAACUAUAUCAGUGAAUUUGGCUGGCUGCCUCUCUUUAACACUGUGUUGAUAAAGAUUUAAUUGGCAAUUCUUGUCUGUAAUGUAAGAUAAUUGCAGAUAUUCCCAGGAAUUGUUUAUAGGGUGGAAGGAAACAGAUGCAUCUGAGAUGUAUUGGAAGAGUUUAAUUAAAGACUUUAUAAAAGUGCAACAGAUGGCAUCCUUGUUAGCUGAGGGGGCAGGUGGCAGAGGCCUUUGGUGGCAUCUCAGAGUCUUGAAGGAGGGUGUUCUCUUCCCUGCUGAGCUCAUGUGUUCCUUUCAGAAGUCUCUGUUCAGUUGGCACGUGUGUAUUUUGUACUCUCCAGAAUUUUUCACAGAUGAAAAUGGGCAGACUUUUGUGUCAUUGCAAUCAGCCCAUUUUCACAUCAAGCAGCCCAGUUCCAACCUUUUCUUUAUUCUUAUUACUGAAGGAUCUUAUCUCCAUGAUGUAAUUGCAAAAGCUGCUUCUGGACAGGGUUUUAGUGAACUUGAACAUAGCAUAUCUUCCAGCAUUGUGGAGAUCAAAACAGGGAAACUUCUGUGCAUGGCCUAACUGCCAUAUCUGAGCUAAUCAGAGCUGAGGAAGGUACCAGAUCAAAC